rnacentral:rRNA from 1 species
GAUGAACGCUAGCUACAGGCUUAACACAUGCAAGUCGAGGGGCAGCAUGGUCUUAGCUUGCUAAGGCCGAUGGCGACCGGCGCACGGGUGAGUAAACACGUAUCCAACCUGCCGUCUACUCUUGGACAGCCUUCUGAAAGGAAGAUUAAUACAAGAUGGCAUCAUGAGUCCGCAUGUUCACAUGAUUAAAGGUAUUCCGGUAGACGAUGGGGAUGCGUUCCAUUAGAUAGUAGGCGGGGUAACGGCCCACCUAGUCUUCGAUGGAUAGGGGUUCUGAGAGGAAGGUCCCCCACAUUGGAACUGAGACACGGUCCAAACUCCUACGGGAGGCAGCAGUGAGGAAUAUUGGUCAAUGGGCGCAGGCCUGAACCAGCCAAGUAGCGUGAAAGGAUGACUGCCCUAUGGGUUGUAAAACUUCUUUUUAUAAGGGAAUAAAGUGUGGGACGUGUCCUAUUUUGUAUGUACCUUAUGAAAUAAAGGAUCGGCUAACUCCGUGCCAGCAGCC